rnacentral:piRNA from 1 species
AGCAGGGCAGACAUUUGGUUUAUCUGUGUC